rnacentral:rRNA from 1 species
CAGUUCGGACUGCAGUCUGCAACUCGACUGCACGAAGCUGGAAUCGCUAGUAAUCGCGGAUCAGCACGCCGCGGUGAAUACGUUCCCGGGCCUUGUACACACCGCCCGUCAAGCCAUGGGAGCCGAGGGCGCUUGAAGUGCGUCGCCGCGAGGCGCGCCCUAGAGCGAAAUCGGUGACUGGGGCUAAGUCGUAACAAGGUACC